CCUACGGGAGGCAGCAGUAAGGAAUAUUGGUCAAUGGAGGCAACUCUGAACCAGCCAUGCCGCGUGCAGGAAGACAGCCCUAUGGGUCGUAAACUGCUUUUAUACGGGAAUAAACUUUGAUUCGUGAAUCAAGCUGAAUGUACCGUAAGAAUAAGGAUCGGCUAACUCCGUGCCAGCAGCCGCGGUAAUACGGAGGAUCCAAGCGUUAUCCGGAUUUAUUGGGUUUAAAGGGAGCGUAGGCGGCCUAUUAAGUCAGGGGUGAAAGACGGUGGCUCAACCAUCGCAGUGCCUUUGAUACUGAUGGGCUUGAAUAUAGUUGAGGUAGGCGGAAUGUGACAAGUAGCGGUGAAAUGCAUAGAUAUGUCACAGAACACCGAUUGCGAAGGCAGCUUACUAAGCUAUGAUUGACGCUGAGGCUCGAAAGCGUGGGGAUCAAACAGGAUUAGAUACCCUGGUAGUCCACGCCCUAAACGAUGAUAACUCGAUGUUGGCGAUAUACAGUCAGCGUCCAAGCGAAAGCGUUAAGUUAUCCACCUGGGGAGUACGCCCGCAAGGGUGAAACGUUAAAUGAAUUGACGG
rnacentral:rRNA from 1 species